UAAAGAGGGAGAGUUUAACUAAGCUGUUGAGUGGCUAGGAGUAACAAAGGGGCGUAUACAGUUUCAAUUCCAAGUACUUGGAGAAACAAAUAAAAGAAUAUAUUAUUGGGGGAAAUCUGCAUAUAUAGGGUGAUUUACAUCAGCUGUAAUGAAUGGCGGUAAUUGACAAACCGUCAGUCUAUCAGACAUACAGGGGAUCAGAGCAAAAGGAAGGACAAUAAUUCUUGUGGUACAUAUCGUUCACCUACAUAUCAAGAUCCCCCAAAAACAAUUCUGGAUUAGGGAUAUUGGAGGAGCUAUUACCCUUCUAGAGUUACUGGAUUUCUAGCCUCCUCGUCCAGUGAGCUGUACGUGCAUGCUUCCCAUGUACACGUCUGGAUGUUGCUACUUUGGCUAAAUGAUCACAAGGACACCUUUGUGGGUGCGGGUUAAUUUAGAUGUCCUUAUAG